ensembl:lncRNA
AAGCCGUGCAGAAGAGCAGCUCGACUCAUUCCAGCCGGAGCUUCGGAGAGACGGACUCACGAACAGAAAGAGAUUACUGAAAUAUAUCUGCGGGAGAGUGAUACAGCGGAGAAAGAUCUGCUUUCACACUCAAAAGCCGCAGAUUGUGAUGUUUAGAGCCCCAAUAAUAACAUGACUUGAGCAAAAAGAAGAAAAAUCUCACUUCACAGACUGACCACUAAGCGGCGCUGUUCCAUUAGAUAAAGACAGCAAACCAUCAAACCUGCAGCACUGCAACCUUCUGAGAUUAUAAUGAACUAUCAAGAGAACAGUCUCCAGGUGAGGUUCUGCUCGAUCUCGUCUUCCAUGCACAUUCAUCUCAGGAUCUGACAGGAGCAGUUCUGCAUCCAUAUGGCACACAAGGACUUGUGUGUGUGAGAAAGAGAGAGAGAGAGAACAGAUUGUUGUGGGACCUUCAGUCCUGCCCUGUGAACCUGAUGCCACAAUCACCAGCAGGAGAGCAAAAGCAACACACUCUCACACAGCUGUUAAACACACACACACACACACACACACACACACACACACACCAAAAUUAACUUCUGACACAUCUGCAAAUGGCUGGAAUUACAGUUAUUCAUUUAGAGACAUUUAGUGACUUACCGAUGAGGACAAAAUGAUGUCACUCGCAACUGGUGAUAUACUGUAAUUGAAUGAACAUUUAUGUGUAAAAUAUACAAAAUACAGCUUUAUGGCUAGAAACUAUUUGAUAGGACACACAACACUGUUUUUCAGUAAGAUAUGUUUUUGAAAGAAGUCUCUUUUCUGCUUAUUAAGGAAAUAGAAAUAUCUGGGGUCAAUAUUUUUUUAUUUUUUU